CAAAUAGGUAUAAAAGGAUUACUUCACUUAAUUUAAAGGUCAAGUUUAAUUUACUCAUCAUAGAGAGCGUCAUUAAGCUUAUGGAAAUAUUUGCAUAAGCAUUAGCAAACACAGUCAAACCCGGAUUAUUUUAUCUGUGUUAUUUUUUUUUUAUUUUGUUGGUGUGCCUGUGAGACCCAGGGUUUGGGGAGCUCGACUGCUUCCUGAGAGGAUUUUUUUUUUUUUUUUUUUUAAAUUACAGUAAAUAACAAUCAUCACCUCUUGCAUUGCACUGUUCUCCAGGGAAAACUCGGGUCCUGAGAGUCAUGAGGACUUCCUUGCACAUAUGACCAUCUGUCCAAAAACUGUUGCACAUAAAGAAAUUGUACUUCCUGUUGGCAGAAAUAGGAACACAAAAAAACAAGCCAAGGCACUGACCCAACCUCCAGGCUCCCCAGAUUCCAUUUUGAUGAUGCAUCUACAUGAUGUCCUAUCCAACUCAAGCUCCAGAGGUCCCAUUGUUCAUGCUCAGACAGGUCCAAGGUUGAGUUGACUUAUUAGUUGGACAGGUUGAGAACUGUUUUGUUGUUAUAUCUCUAAAGGUCAUCAAAUGUUAAUGUCAGCUCUGCUGGAUGACUAACAUUAUCAAAACUGGAAGCAUUCACUUUGCAGGACCAACAUGUCUUCUAAUCGAACGCAGCAGCCUCCUGCCUGAUUCCAAAGUGACUGAAGAGAGGUCGGAUGAAGUGAGGGGUCAGCAGUGAUCACUUUGGCUUCUUACAGCUGCUGAACUGUAAGCUCCUUCUUCUCAACUUUUCGGGAUGGAGAGACGCGAGGAGAGAAAACUCGCGAAAGACAUCAGUGAAGGAGAUGUCACCUGAAACAGUGGACACUAAAGUCAAGGAUCUGUCCCGAUGCAGGGCACCAUGGAGAAUUACCAACCUUCUUUUAGAAUAUGCGAUACAUUACCGUGAAAAAAUCUUGAGACACCACUCAUUUCUUUUUUCUUUUGGUAACACUAAUCUAUGCCUAAUACUGUUUCAUUGUGAGUUUUUCUAUCUAGCAAUGCUUUGCCAGUGUGGUUGAGAUCAUUGUAAGCAUUAAAAAUGAAGCUGUCAUCAUUACAUGGUGGGUCAAAAUCUGACAGUAUUUUUCUGCGUUCAUAAUUCAUUCAAUUUUGACAAGAUCCCAAACAUCACUGGCUGAAAUGUCCAACCAUGACAAUGCUGUAGACACUCACUGACACCAACUAAAAAUAUAAAAUUUGAAUUCAUCACUCCUUCAAAAAUGUCGCCACUGAUUUUUAGUCCAAUUCUUGUAUAUUUGGCGUAUGUCAUUCUUCUUUACCUGUUUUCCUUUCCUAAGAAUCUAGCCACUCUUGCACUGAGACAAUUUAUGAUGAGGCUUCAUUCAACAGUAGAGGGAUCAAAUGAAGGGUCAGGUGCAUAUCUCAGAGCCUGGGCUGGGCCUAUGCUGUAUUUCUAACCUGUUUCUUAAGCACAUGACUUUCAGAUUCUGUUCAUCUGUUUUGUUUUUUUAAUCAAAUCCUUUCUUGUCCCGUUUCCUCAACAUUUUAAGCGCAUGCUGAAAGCCACGUGGACAUACGUUAAGUUUCCAGCUAAUAUCUCUUCAGGAAUCACCUCAUUGGUGCAAAAAUAAUGUUUUUAUCUACAACAAAUGAUUUUAACCAUUUGUCAGAAACACAGUGACUAAAAAUAAAAUUUAAAAUUGGUUGUUUGGCAAGUUGUCUGUUAAGACAAGCCUGGCACAUCCCUGAAGUCAGAAGCCUUUUUAUACUUGAAUGAAUCAUCAGUGUUGAUUGGAAAUUGUGAGGCACAAAAACUGUAGUAAAGUUCAGCAAAAAAGCAGCUGAUGAACUUUGAACUAUUGACCACAUUUUUGAAAAUAACAUAAAAGUCUGGUUUAUUAGAAGCAAAUUAAGAAACAAGUGGUGACUCAAGACUUUUGUACAGUACCGUAUAUAAGCAAGAAUAUAAGGAAGAAAGAUCAGAUUAAUGCUUGCUUUGCAUACCCACGAAAAAGAAAAGUGCCCACAGCCUCAUAUUUUUGCGUAGCUCCUAAGCCUAGCCCUGUGAAUCAUGGGAUGUACAAGUAAAAAACCUUUAUUUCCUCUUAAAUGGGAUUCCUGGAUACUCAAUAGCAAGUGUGGAAUAGUAGUGGUGAGCAUCCUGUCCACUCAUGGCUCAGACAUUCAUUUUUUUUUAACUUACCAACUCGCAUUGAAUAUGGUCAAAAUUACAGUUUAACUAUAUAAAUCCUGUAUUGUAGUUGUCUUGGCACAUCCUCCUUAAGGCAAUGUUCCUGUUCCUCAUUUAUAAGAAAGGGAAAAGACUGGCAGCAUUAUCACAGCAAAUGUUUUCCAAGCUUAUCCAUAAAAAUAGGAGGGGGGAGGGCCACAGAGCAAGAACCUCAAGUUAAAGCGCAACCACCAGAGCAGGAAAAAAUCAUAGUAUCACGCUAGUGUGCCACAGCAAGACAGCCCAGGAUGCUUCACUCACUCUAUCCCGAACAUCCUUAGGUUUUACUCUCCUGCUGCUCGGGGUACGUCCUGUGGUAAUAGAAGCAAUGAUAUGUCAGUCAGUGGUUAUUUCCUCAAGUGGACAUGUGUCAUUUGUCUUUAGUGUUAAAUCGAAGGAAUUAGAGAGGACAUUUUAUUCAGGGAUGGUGUGACAACGCUUGUGAGAGCACAUACAUGUUUUACACACUGGAGACACUGAAUUAUUCAAGGCACAGUGUUGCUGCUGCAGGCAAGAAGAUGAAGCACUGUUUUAAUAUCCAUAAGACUCUGAAUGCUUAAGUUAUCCUUAAAUAGCAGAGUCUGGAGGGAUCCACGUGUACACCUCAGUGAUAUUUCACAACAUGAGACUAAUCGGUUUAUUGCUUUGAAUAAGCCAAGUGCUACCAAAAGUUUGUAAAUUGCCAAAGACACACCAGAGUAUUCUGUAAAGUAGCACUCUCCCAGCAUCUGGCUAUAUCUAUGGAUUACAACCACUGCCGUAUUUAUUAUUAUUCGAUAAAUUAGAGCAGCUAUCAUCUGGAAAAAGAAUGCUGGGAGAAUGUUACACAGAAAAGAUGAGCGAGGGAACAGCAAUGAGAAUAAGAAGCAGGCAGCUGGGUUAACAGAUCCAUUUCAGUUUCUCAGUUUUAUUGUAUGUAUUUUGUUUUUUUUCCCCUUAGUGCUUCUAAAGACAUGGAAGAGAGUAUUCCAAAGAUAUCCAAAUGCCAGUAAACAGAAGAACCCCCGCAAGUAAUUCAGAACCGUGUCACAGUUCUACCCGACCGGCUGUUUUUCAAAGACGAUGAAAAAACAAACAUUAAACAGAAUCUGUGACCGAAUGCUGAGAGGCAGGAAGUUAGCAUUAAGUUAAAAUAUGCAAGUGUACUAUUUA